rfam:Arabis alpina cultivar Pajares Aa.chr4_contig_179, whole genome shotgun sequence.
AAUCCAUGAUGAGGGUAAUAUCUUAGGUAUUCCUUAACGCGUUCCCAAGCAUCAUGGAAACUUUCUAAAGAUCCUUGUUGAAAUCCUUGUAUCUUAUUCCUCAAGAGAUU